AUGCAGCUACAUCGUUAGCCUUAAUUAUACUAAAUAGUGCAUGAACAUCUAUUAAGUAUCUUUCUAUCAAUAAAUCGAUGUAUUCUUCUUUCCAAUACCAAAAUAAGCAUCCACCUUCCUACACACAUGAACACCUUAAUAAGCUACCGAAAUUUAAUCAAAUAAAGUUGACAAAGCCGAACAGAAAGAAGAACAUACCCC
rnacentral:lncRNA from 1 species